rnacentral:rRNA from 1 species
GGCACCUUCGGUGUCCGAGUUGUAAUCUCUAGAAAUGUUUUCCGCGUUGGACCGCACACAAGUCUGUUGGAAUACAGCGGCAUAGUGGUGAGACCCCCGUAUAUGGUGCGGACGCCCAGCGCUUUGUGAUACAUUUUCGAAGAGUCGAGUUGUUUGGGAAUGCAGCUCAAAUUGGGUGGUAAAUUCCAUCUAAAGCUAAAUAUUGGCGAGAGACCGAUAGCGAACAAGUACCGUGAGGGAAAGAUGAAAAGCACUUUGGAAAGAGAGUUAACAGUACGUGAAAUUGUUGGAAGGGAAACGCUUGAAGUCAGACUUGCUUGCUGAGCAAUCGGUUUGCAGGCCAGCAUCAGUUUUCCGGGAUGGAUAAUGGUAGAGAGAAGGUAGCAGUUUCGGCUGUGUUAUAGCUCUCUGCUGGAUACAUCUUGGGGGACUGAGGAACGCAGUGUGCCUUUGGCGGGGGUUUCGACCUCUUCACACUUAGGAUGCUGGUGGAAUGGCUUUAAACGACCCGUCUU